GAUGAACGCUGGCGGCGUGCCUAAUACAUGCAAGUCGAGCGAACAGACGAGGAGCUUGCUCCUCUGACGUUAGCGGCGGACGGGUGAGUAACACGUGGAUAACCUACCUAUAAGACUGGGAUAACUUCGGGAAACCGGAGCUAAUACCGAAUAAUAUAUUGAACCGCAUGGUUCAAUAGUGAAAGACGGUUUUGCUGUCACUUAUAGAUGGAUCCGCGCCGCAUUAGCUAGUUGGUAAGGUAACGGCUUACCAAGGCAACGAUGCGUAGCCGACCUGAGAGGGUGAUCGGCCACACUGGAACUGAGACACGGUCCAGACUCCUACGGGAGGCAGCAGUAGGGAAUCUUCCGCAAUGGGCGAAAGCCUGACGGAGCAACGCCGCGUGAGUGAUGAAGGUCUUCGGAUCGUAAAACUCUGUUAUUAGGGAAGAACAAAUGUGUAAGUAACUAUGCACGUCUUGACGGUACCUAAUCAGAAAGCCACGGCUAACUACGU
rnacentral:rRNA from 1 species